rfam:Schistosoma mansoni strain Puerto Rico chromosome 5, complete genome
GACUAGAUGAAGAGUCCCAAAUAGGACGAUACGCGCGUCCUGGGU